AGAGUCCAAUGGUUAAUGUUCCAAAAUGGUCAACAGGAGUUAGGAAACCAGAUCGUCUGAAACUCAACCUGGGCUAAAGAGAUGGAGUACAUAGCAAGAAUCUUUGGAUCUGGGAUAAGCAAGACUGCUCCUUGACAGCAGGAAGAAAGCACAGAAGAUGAAGGAAAAGCAUUUGUCACAACCCAGCGCACCUCCCUGAGAAAGACUUAGCAAGAAAAUACAAACACCAGUCUGGUGACCCAAAUUCCUCACAGAGUCCAAACCAAAUGAAGCUCUUCUCCUCAUGGUGGCCUUGCCUGCAGUAAAAAUUGAGUUCCACGAAGAAAGAAGCAAUUUUAGCUUGCAUAUCUGUCACACAUGUGCUUUCCUGGAGUCUCCACUGUAUUUCACUAUGCAGCAGAAAUGCUUCAUGUCCUUGUGACAUUUUUCACAGAAACAUUAAAGGAUGUGUACGAUUGA